GCUUCUUCAAGGCCGAUCUGCCUUGCUUGCUAACAAGCACUGAGUCUACACAUUCAGCUGGGGGAGAAACUUGACCAACGUUUGGCAGUGCAGGGGAUAAUUUGAAAUCUGCUUCGGUUUGAAGUACAUUAGCGUCUAGACGUGUAGAGGUUCCUCAUCAUGAUCUUCAGAGCAGCUUUCAUUGCCUUCUUAGCUUUCACCUCAAGAAAAGUCGAUGGAGACUCUGUUACCCAAAGAGAAGGCUUGGUUACCAUCCAAGAGGGGCAGCUUCUUUCACUGCCAUGCGAAUAUCAGACCUCCUACACGCCUACACUCUUUUGGUAUGAACAACGUUCUCAGGGAGCCCCCGAGCUGUUGCUAGCAAGCUACGAUGCUCAGGAUCUGAAGACCAAAAAGCGGAUGAGGGAGUUUUCAGCAAAGGUCAACAGAGAUGAGAAGUCCUUCCAUUUGACCAAGGGCGCCGCUGAGCUGAGAGACUCAGCUGUCUACUUCUGUGCCUUGAGCGACACAGUGGGGAGAGUCAGAAGGAGAGCAGGUCUAAAACCCACCUGGUGGCCGAUGGCAAAGCUGCUGGUUCGUUCUAUAAAAAUACAUCUAUAUGUCUCCCUUAAAUUGCAUGGGUCUGAGCAGCUGAGUUUUGGUUUACACUGA